CAAUUGUUUCCAGUCUAAACUUCCUCAAGCCUGUAGCACUCCGAUGUUCGCGAUUACGACGCGUUCAUAUUUAUACAGUGUCCAGUUGUAUCGAGUCACAGUUCGAAUUGCGAACGAGCGACAGUAACAGUCAUUGAGUGCGUUAACCCCGCUUUGGUUGUUGUUGUGAUUCGAAAUAAGAACAGAGACAAUGGCCGCCUGCAAAAUUGCUCUAGCGCUCACAAUCUUAAUUGCCGUAGUGAAGGCACAAAGGCCAUUCUACGCUGGACUGAGCCCUAUCGGAUACCCGGCCGUGGAAGCGGAUCUAAUAUCGAAUAGAUUCGGUGAAGAUGACUCCUACCCUAUUGACGCGAGAGGCGACGGCAAUCUCAUAAACAGACUCAACCAACUUCCAGUCGAAAAUCAACCUUUCUGGUACCUCAACUGGAGGCAGUAUGAAAACUUGAGGCGUAACCCACAAACCUACCCCCAGAGACAGAACAGCUUCAUCGGUACCAAGUAGAAGAAAAUUUUAUAUUAGGAUGUACCUACGAAUCGAUUUAGAAUCUCGAAUGCACAACUCGAUUCUAGACUGAUAAAUAAAUAUGCGAAUCGAAAUUGGAAUUUGUGGAACCGCGUCCGGCACUAACGUCUGCCUGAGAUUCUAAAUUCAAACAGUAUUAAUAUAUUUUUGAGUGUGAUUGUGUUGUGUGAUGGAUGAUUUGAAAAUGGAAUUUUAAAUUUCAAAAUUGGAAUUCGUUUCUUAGGAUUGAACUAUUUUUUAUUGGCUCUAUGAUGGAUGAUCUGUGAUUGGCUGACAAAAAUUGUGAAGUGCCAGUGCAAAAAAAUAUUCAGUUUGUUGUUAAUUAGGUUAAGAAAUUUUGUUUGUGUAAUAUUUGCAACAAUUGCCAUUACAUUGCAUUUAUUUUAAUUGGUCAAUUAAAAUAUAUUUUUU
rnacentral:lncRNA from 1 species